UGCUCUUCAUUUAGUCUGCAUUUACAGUUGUCUGUGAGCAAAAGGAGAAAGCCCUACAAUUAAAUGUUGAAAAAGGCACCUGGUAAGGGUGCAUCCACAGGCAGCAAGCAACAAGUGCAAGGUUCAAAUCACACACCAAAGCCGUCCCCUUCCGCAUCCAAGACGAAACACCUGUGCUUACGUUCAAAAAAAUUUUUUUUGUAACUUAUUUCCUUUUUUGGUCUAGAGAACUGAUGGGGCGGGGCACCCGCGAAUAAACAUUUCUGUUAUGCCAAAUACCAUUUACAAACCAGGAAUGGGUUGGAAGAACGGAUGAAAACUUGAACGAAGGAAUGAGAAGAUGGGAAAGGUCAAUUUCUAGCUUGCCUUCUCCAUCUCCAACUACUCUGCCUGUAUAUGGAAAAUGCUGGAGAGACGACCUCCAGCUAAAGGCGACACUAUGAGUUUGAGGCAGUUGGGAAAAGGCCAUAUCCCUAAAGUUAUUCUAGUGUAAGGUCAGCCAUAAUAACUUUCCCCAGCUCCGAUGGACCGUCCGGCCUGCAGUAGUAUUGCGACUCUUAGCCUGCUCAAGCUUCAUCUUAGCCCGCGCCCCACCUCCAAACCUUUCCGGACUAUCCCCAAAACGCCUUGCGGCCGCCAUUUUAAACACUACUAUCGCGAGAUAUACUUAGCAGCCUGCAGCCUGACUCAUUUACUUUCUUGCGAGAGUCUCUUUUCGGCUGUUCUCGCCAUAGUUGAGGAAAGUGUCGCGAGAGCUGGUUGCCUUGGCUCCCCGUAGCUAUAGCAGCCGCGGCGGUUAAGUAUGCGGCGGCGGGAGCAGUGAGUGCGACACCCUCAGGGGGGCGGGGCCGGAGUCAUUGAAAACCAGAAGGGUAUUUAUGAACAACAGAGAAUUCCAUGUUUUCCUUCAGUAUAGGAGGAGCCCCAGAGAGAGGUUGCUUCUACCUGAUGGCUGUUGUGAAGAUUAUUGCUAUGAACAUGUGGUACAGUUAUCUCUUUGAGAUAGUGCUUUCAGUUCUUUUGGAUAUGUAACCAGAGAUGGAACUGCUUAAUCAUAUGGCUGGUCAAGUGAAGCAGUGGGAGUGGAGAAGGAACAAAGGAAUCCGUAACUGGUUGUGAUCCAUUGGUUAUAAAUACCACUGCACUUGGACCAACCUGGGAGCUUAUAUUCUAAUGAGAAGAUAGGUAAUAAGUAAUGUCUGUUAGUGAUAAGUAUGAUGAAAAAAACUAAAGCAAGAUAAGGACAGGGAGGCAAGUGUUAAUUUUAGAUGAGAUAUUCAGGGAAGUCCCUUUGUGGAUGGUGACAUAUGAACGAAGAGACCUGAACGCAGAGACCUGAACGAAGUGAAGAAGCAGGCUAUAUAAACAACUGGGGAGUGAGUGUUCGAAGGUGAGGGACUAAAUAGCAGGUGAAAAAGUCUUGAGAUGGGAACUAGCUUGGCAUCUUUGAAAAAUGAUGGGCAGAGAACAGUAAAGCAGUAAAGAUGAAAUCGUUGAAGUAGGUAGGGGCCAGAUCAUGGGGAAUUUAAGAUUAAGGAAUUAAGAUUUUGUUCAGAAUGUCAUGGGAAGACAUCAGUGUUUUACCAUAGAGUAAUGACAUGAUUUGAUUUAUAUUUUUAAAAGUUAUCGUGAUUGCUAUGUGGAGAAAUAAUUGUAAUGGAGGCAAGGAGACUAGAUAGGAGGCUAUUGCAGUAUGCUAAUAAAUGGAUAUAGUUGGCUUUGUCAAGGAUGGUAGUAGUGGAGGUAGUGAGGAGGGAUAUAUUUUGAAAGUAGCACAAAUAAGAUUUGCUGAUAGAUUGAUGGAGGUGUUAGGGAAAGAAAGGAGGCAAACAUGAUGCAAAUUUUGGCUUGAACAAGUGAUUGAAGGAGCUGAUUGGGGUGUAUAUGGUGAGAACUAAGAUUUCUCCUUUGAACAUGUUAGGUUUGAUAUAACUGAAAGUGUUUUUCAGUUUUUAGUAAACUGAAAGUGUGGUGAUUAUAACUCCAUGUCAAUAAAUUUUUAUCUAUAAUUUUUUCAUGGUUGCAUAACGUUUCAUUCUGUGAAUGUAUACUGUACUUUGUUAUGAAUAACAUUGCAAAUUCUUACUUUAAUUUUUCCAGACUGUUUGCAGUGCAGUUCUGACACUACCUGGAGUUACCUGAAAUUUUACAGGGGCAUAGUCCUCCCUUACACACUAGACACAAGGUUGGGAGUCCCCAGCCCACCUAUACUUCUAACCAAGAUGCUACAAAUUCAAGGAUUCCCACAACCCUCUCAAGAUGCUAGAACAACUCAAAAAACUCAAGAAAGAGUUAUACUUAAUGUUUACAGUUUUAUUAUAGCAAAAGGAUACAAAUCUGAACCAGCAAAAGGGAGAGAUACAUAGGGUGAGUUCUGGAAGGGUCCCAAAUGUCAAGCUUCUAUCUCCUCAGGAUGUUACCCUCUGGGUACAUCAAUGUGUAUCCCAACAAGUGAACCUCACUGAGCCUUGUUGUUCAGAGUUUUUAUUGGGGCUUCAUUACAUAGGCAUGAUUGAUUGAAUCAUUUGCCACAUGAUUUAACUGGGUCUUCAGCCUCUCUCUGUUCCCCAGAGUUCAGGCUGACAUCCUAUGGAGUAAAGCCCCAAUCCUCUAAUCAUGUGAUUGGUCUCAAAGACACUCAUAUCAUUUGGGAAAUUGCAGAGAUUUAGAUGCUCUCUCCUAGGAACAAAGUACCAGCAAAAUUCUUCAUUAUACAACAAUGUUAAAACCCAAUUCAGAUAUUACUUUCUCUGGAAAGCCUUUACAGACUUUCCGAUGCAUUUUGUUCAUAUCUCUAUUAUAGUUUUUUUCUCUCCUUAGUGAAUAUUUUGAAGGACCCAUGCCUUUGGUCAUCUUUGUAUCUCUAAUAUGGUUAGCACUAUAUCUGGAUUAUAGUAGAUGCUCAGUAAAUAGUUAAUAAAUUAAAAUAUUUACGAUAUAACUCAUGAGUAGAUGGGAAGUUCAGUGUAAAAUUCUCUUAGAGUUAUUUUAAGAUGAAAUAGAAUCAAAUUUUACUUUAUUCCUUCUAUAUUCGUCCUCAUUUGCUUUUCAAAUAUUUUUAUACUUUUUAA